rnacentral:rRNA from 1 species
GACGAACGCUGGCGGCAUGCCUAACACAUGCAAGUCGAACGAGACCUUCGGGUCUAGUGGCGCACGGCUGCGUAACGCGUGGGAAUCUGCCCUUGGGUUCGGAAUCACAGUUGUAAACGACUGCUAAUACCGGAUGAUGACGUAAGUCCAAAGAUUUAUCGCCACAGGAUGAGCCCGCGUAGGAUUCGCUAGUUGGUGAGGUAAAGGCUCACCAAGGCGACGAUCCUUAGCUGGUCUGAGAGGAUGAUCAUCCACACUGGGACUGAGACACGGCCCAGACUCCUACGGGAGGCAGCAGUGGGGAAUAUUGGACAAUGGGCGAAAGCCUGAUCAAGCAAUGCCGCGUGAGUGAUGAAGGCGUUAGGUUUGUAAAGCUCUUUUACCCGGGAUGAUAAUGACAGUACCGGGAGAAUAAGCUCCGGCUAACUCCGUG